GACCCGGAGGCGGAACCGGACGGCGGGGCGUGGACCUCGGCUCUCGGAGCGCAGAGCGCAGGGGGCGCCUGCAGAGAUUGGGGUGCGCCCGCGCCCCCGCCAUGCGGCCCCCGCGCCCUUCCGUCGCGCUGCUCGCCGUCCUGGGCGCGCUUUGGGCGGCGGCGCUCGUGGCCGCCGAGGCCCCGCACCUGGUGCGCGUGGACGCGGCCCGCGCGCUGCGGCCCUUGCGGCCCUUCUGGAGGAGCACCGGCUUCUGUCCCCCACUGCCGCACGGCCAGGCCGACCGCUAUGACCUCAGCUGGGAUCAGCAGCUCAACCUGGCCUACGUGGGCGCGGUCCCUCACGGAGGCAUUGAGCAGGUUCGGACCCACUGGCUGCUGGACCUCAUCACGGCCAGGGGGCUGGUCCAGCAGGGCCUGCGCUACAACUUCACCCACCUGGAUCGGUACCUGGACCUUCUCAGGGAGAACCAGCUCGUCCCAGGCUUCGAGCUGAUGGGCAGCCCCUCUGGACGCUUCACUGACUUCGAGGACAAGCAGCAGGUGUUCGAGUGGAGGAACCUGGUCUCUCUCCUCGCCAGGAGAUACAUCGGUAGGUAUGGCCUCGAGCAUGUUUCCAAGUGGAAUUUCGAGACGUGGAACGAGCCAGACCACCACGACUUUGACAACGUGUCCAUGACCUUGCAAGGCUUCUUGAACUACUACGACGCCUGCUCCGAGGGUCUGAGAGCAGCCAGCCCGGCUCUGCGCCUGGGUGGCCCUGGAGACGCCUUCCACGCGCUGCCCCGCUCGCCGCUCUGCUGGGGCCUCCUGGGGCACUGUAACAACGGCAGCAACUUCUUCACCGGGGAGGUGGGCGUGCGGCUGGACUACAUCGCCCUGCACAAGAAGGGCGCGGGCAGCUCCAUCUCCAUCCUAGAGCAGGAGGCGGCAGUCGUACAGCAGAUACAGCGGCUCUUCCCCAAGUUCGCUGACACCCCCAUUUACAACGACGAGGCCGACCCGCUGGUGGGCUGGUCCCUGCCGCAGCCCUGGAGGGCCGACGUGACCUACGCGGCCAUGGUCGUGAAGGUCGUCGCACAGCACCAGAACCUGCUGCUGGCGAAUGCCAGCUCGGCCGUCCGCUACGCGCUCCUGAGCAACGACAACGCCUUCCUGAGCUACCACCCGCACCAGUUCUCCCAGCGCACGCUCACCGCGCGCUUCCAGGUCAACGACACAAGGCCGCCGCACGUGCAGCUGCUGCGCAAGCCGGUGCUCACCGCCAUGGCGCUGCUGGCCCUGCUGGACGGCGAGCAGCUCUGGGCCGAGGUGUCGCGGGGCGGCACGGUGCUGGACAGCAACCACACGGUGGGCGUCCUGGCCAGCGCUCACCGCCCCACUGGCCCGGCCGACGCCUGGCGCGCCACGGUGCUGGUCUACGGAAGCGAUGACACCCGCGCCCACGCCAACCGCACGGUCCCCUUGAUUCUCAGCCUGCACGGGGUGCCCCCGGGCCCCGAGGUCGUCUUUGUCGAGCUUUACGUGGACAACUGGCUCUGCAACCCCUACGGAGAGUGGCGGCGCCUGGGCAUGCCGGUCUUCCCCUCUGCAGCGCAGUUCCGGCGCAUGCGCGCGGCCGAGGACCCUGCGGCCGUGAAACCGCGCUCCUUCCCCAGCAGCGGCCGCCUGACGCUGCGCCCUCCGCUCGCUCUGCCCUCGCUGCUGCUGGUGCACGUGUGCGCGCGCCCCGAGGAGCCGCCGGGCCAGGUGACUCGGCUCCGUGCUCUGCCCCUGACCCGCGGGCAGUUGCUUUUGGUCUGGUCGGAUGAGCGUGUGGGCUCCAAGUGCGUGCCUGUGGACCUAUGAGAUCCAGUUCUGCCCGGAGGGUGGGGUGUUCGCUCCCAUCAGCAGGAAGCCUUCGACUUUUAACCUGUUCGUGUUCAGCCCAGACACAGCUGUGGUCUCCGGCUCCUAUCGGGUUUGUGCUGUGGACUACUGGGCCCGGCCAGGCCCCUUCUCCAGCCCCGUGCGGUACCUGGAGGCCUCUGCCUCUUGACGGCCUCUGCUGCCCAGAGACUGGGCCUGUGCUGACCGUGAGCCUGGGCGGCCAGGAGCCAGGCUGGGCCCAACUGCCAACAGCCUGCCAGCCAGUCCUCCCUUCUGUUGGUCUCCUCCCGCCCCUCACUCACCCCUUAAAGUGCCUUAUGACUCACAGUCUCGGGGACAGCCUUCACGGUGGGCACUGGGGACGCGCGGCCUGGCUGGAGCACGGCCAUCCCCGCUGGCUCACCCAAGGCCUCUGCCUGCCCGUGGGAGCCGGGAUUCCGCUCGGCUGGGAUGCGGGCAAGUGUUGAGUUGGAGUGCCCGCCCUGCCUGUCUGGGAUCUCCGGUGUCACCACUGGCUGUAGUGGGCCCACCGUGUCCCCUGGAGGGCGGGACCUGAGGCUCUGCCCAGAGAGGGUGGCCUGGGGCAAGACAGAGCCCAGAGGAGUCCCUCUUCCUGAGGCCCAGCCAGACUGCCCCCUGCACCCCCCGGGCGGGGGUUUCCAGGCUGCCUGGGCCAGACUGUCCAGCGGAGAGAGAGGCUGACAGCGUCCACUCCAUGGCCAUCUGGGCUGCUUAUCUGGCCCCAAGAGGAAACAGAUGGCAUGUCCAGAUGAGGACACCCUAGGGGCUGUGGACGGACGUGAGGGCAGAAGGCAGGGAAGCCACAGGGGUGGUGCGGAAGCCUGGGGCUCCUCCCCACCUCACCUGCAUCCCAGGACAGAUGGAGCCCGCACAGCAAGGUGUGGAGAGGCCCCCGGUGAGGAGAGGAGCACCCCCAGCAGAAGUGGGCCCGGCCCCUGCCCCCGCCGUCCGCUGCUGUCCCAGAGCCACCUCCGCUCGGGGGGCGGGGGGCAGUGCAGGCCUGGCUGAGCAGAUGGAAGGCAAGGCCUGGUCGUCCCCCGACCCACCCUGAACCCGCUGCCCCGUCCACAUGGAGCACACGGGUAUCCGGGCCCACCAGUUGCCUUAUCCUGGGCAGGAGUGUUAGUUUGGCCAUUCUCCAUGUGAACCCCAAGAUCAGCGCCCAUCCCCCUGCCUCAGGGCUUGGUGCCCAGGGCCCCACUGUUACCAGUCGCCUUUUUAAAGGCCCCCACUCCAAACAGCACUCACAUUCCAAGGUCCCGGGGGUAAGGACGUCAGUGUUUGAACUGGGGGAGGCCGUUUACCUGCAGCAAGCCCUGACCCUGUUCUCUGUGGUGGGAACACCUCACCCCAGCAUUAAAGCAGCCUCUUCUCCA